UACAGAGGGGGGCAAGCGUUGUUCGGAAUUACUGGGCGUAAAGGGCGCGUAGGCGGCCUUCUAAGUCGAACGUGAAAUCCCCGGGCUCAACCCGGGAACUGCGUCCGAUACUGGAAGGCUUGAAUCCGGGAGAGGGAUGUGGAAUUCCAGGUGUAGCGGUGAAAUGCGUAGAUAUCUGGAGGAACACCGGUGGCGAAGGCGACAUCCUGGACCGGUAUUGACGCUGAGGCGCGAAAGCCAGGGGAGCAAACGGG
rnacentral:rRNA from 1 species